UACGGGGGGGGUAAGCGUUGUUCGGAAUUACUGGGCGUAAAGGGCUCGUAGGCGGCCAACUAAGUCAGACGUGAAAUCCCUCAGCUUAACUGGGGAACUGCGUCUGAUACUGGGUGGCUUGGAUUUGGGAGAGGGAUGCGGAAUUCCAGGUGUAGCGGUGAGAUGCGUAGAUAUCUGGAGGAACACCGGUGGCGAAGGCGGCAUCCUGGACCAAUAUUGACGCUGAGGAGCGAAAGCCAGGGGAGCAAACGGG
rnacentral:rRNA from 1 species